rnacentral:snRNA from 1 species
CUUUGGACCAGUCAUGGAGGCUGGAGUGACGGUGGAGAAGAUCUUGCAGGUGCAUGCUAGCAACAGUGAGCGCACGGCCAGGCUCUGCGGCAAGCAGUCGAGCAAAC